rnacentral:tRNA from 1 species
GGGGAUGUGACUCAGUGGUAGAGUGUUUGCCUGGCAUGCACAAGACCCAGAGUUCAAUCCUUAGCACACACA